AAAUCGCAUGAGGGAUAGAAGUGGAAAUCCUUUUUGUCCGCCGCGGCGGACAAAAAGAUUGGGAACGGAUAGCCCGACCCGGA
rnacentral:sRNA from 1 species